rnacentral:tRNA from 1 species
CAGAAUAUAGCUUAAAUAAAGCAUCUUAAUUACACCAAGAAAAUAUUUAUUGACUUAAAUUAUUCUGA